GUCCCUGAAGCGUAAUGGAUAGCGCGUUGGACUUUUAAUCCAAAGUGGGUUCGAAUACCACCUUAGAUG